AUUGAACGCUGGCGGCAUGCCUUACACAUGCAAGUCGAACGGUAACAGGUCUUCGGAUGCUGACGAGUGGCGAACGGGUGAGUAAUGCAUCGGAACGCGCCCAGUAGUGGGGGAUAGCCCAGCGAAAGCCGGAUUAAUACCGCAUACGACCUGAGGGUGAAAGGGGGGGAUCGCAAGACCUCUUGCUAUUGGAGCGGGCUAUAUCAGAUUAGGUAGUUGGUGGGGUAAAGGCCUACCAAGGCAACGAUCUGUAGUUGGUCUGAGAGGACGACCAGCCACACUGGGACUGAGACACGGCCCAGACUCCUACGGGAGGCAGCAGUGGGGAAUUUUGGACAAUGGGCGCAAGCCUGAUCCAGCAAUGCCGCGUGCAGGAAGAAGGCCUUCGGGUUGUAAACUGCUUUUGUCAGGGAAGAAAUCUUCUGGGUUAAUACCUCGGGAGGAUGACGGUACCUGAAGAAUAAGCACCGGCUAACUACGUGCCAGCCGCCGCCGUAAGAC
rnacentral:rRNA from 1 species